CCUACGGGUGGCAGCAGUGGGGAAUAUUGCGCAAUGGGCGAAAGCCUGACGCAGCGACGCCGCGUGAGGGAUGAAGGUCUUCGGAUCGUAAACCUCUGUCCGCAGGGAAGAACGGUCACUGUGCUAAUCAGCAGUGAAUUGACGGUACCUGCACAGGAAGCACCGGCUAACUCCGUGCCAGCAGCCGCGGUAAUACGGAGGGUGCGAGCGUUAAUCGGAAUUACUGUGCGUAAGGCGCUCGUAGGCGGUAGGUAAAGUCAAGGGUGAAAUCCCCGCGCUCAACGUGGGAACUGCCUUUGAAACUGGCAAACUGGAGUGUGGGAGAGGAUAGUGGAAUUCGAGGUGUAGGAGUGAAAUGCGUAGAUAUCUGGAGGAACAUCAGUGGCGAAGGCGACUAUCUGGCACAUAACUGACGCUGAGGAGCGAAAGCGUGGGUAGCAAACAGGAUUAGAUACCCCGGUAGUC
rnacentral:rRNA from 1 species